rnacentral:lncRNA from 1 species
AUUCUCCUGCCUCAGCCUCCCGAGUAGCUGGGACUACAGGCGCCCGCCACUGCGCCCGGCUAAUUUUUUGUAUUUUUAGUAGAGAGGGGGUUUCACCGUGGUCUCGAUCUCCUGACCUCGUGAUCCGCCCGCCUCAGCCUCCCAAAGUGCUGGGAUUACAGGCGUGAGCCACCGCGCCCGGCCAGUUCAAUGGAUUUUAAAAAUUAUUAUUCUCUAGAAAAAAGACCACGAACUUUGGAGUGGACAUCCUGAGACCUGCCUACGAAGACCAUUAGGGUAAAGAAGUCACCCCUUCACCCCAGGACCAGGAAGCCUCCAGGAUGGCAUAAGCGACCAAACAGCUGGGAGCCAAGCACAGUGCAGGGGGCUUGGGGUCGGCGGCCGGAGGCUGGGUGGCCUCCAGAAGACACUCCCCUGAUUCCUACACCGAGGGAACACACAGCAGCAAGCUAGGAAAGAAGGGGUGACCCAGCCCAACGCUGUAAACCAGGGCGCGAACCGGCGUUGAGCUGUGCAGCUGCGCCCUGGGCUCCAGUCCUGCUCUGCCGCAGACCCCACCGGAGCCAGCACCUGCCUCCCCGACCCUCGCUGGGGCGGCUGUGAGAUGAGCCCAGAGCCUUCCUGAGCCAACCCUCGCAAGGAAAGUCUGUCUGUUCACCCCACUAUCCUUGUCUUGAAGGAUGAAGAAAAGAGGGCCCCCCGGGAGGUCCCAAAAGGUGGAAUGGACAUCUGGGAUCCAAGCACAGCAAUUUCUUUAUUUUUCUUAAGCCUCUCACUAGAGGAUGAAAAUCGUUCUGCAUAAAGGCCUGGGCUUUAUGAAAAAUAUAUUCACACCUCCCGUGUCCGAGCUGGGAUACCAAAGAAGUUCCUGGUUGAGUACUACUUAUGAAUGAAGGAUUCAGGGGAUGCACAGGACACAGAGGAAUCUGGGGGAUAUUAUGGUUCUGGGAAUGUGGAAUGUAACGUCUCAUCUUCAGCCCAUCUGUGCUACUGAUCAUCUCAUUCCAGAAGCCAUGCCUUCUCUCAGGAGCAGACAGCACAAGACUUUCCUGCCAGAGGCACAGUCCCCAGCAUCCUCUCUUUCUUUUCCAACCUUUCCAACCUCUCGAAUAAUCUCUGCAGUGGGAGUAGCAUCCACAUAAGACAGGAUGCAGAGAUGUCUUCAAGCAGCUUCAAACAAAACUUCAAGAAAGAAAGUGCAAGUGAAAAAGGAAAUUCAUCCUUCCAGUCACUUAACACAGCACUGUCACGGACACCUUGUGCCUCCUUAAAAUUCGUAUACUGAAGUUCUAAGCCCCAGUACCCCAGAAUGUGACCUUCUUUGGAAAUAGGGUCAUUGCAGAUAUGAUUAGUUAAGAGGAGAUCAUACUGGAGUGGGCUUUAAUCCAAUAUGACUGGUGUCCUUAUGUAAAGGGGAAAUUUGGACACAGACACACACAAGGAGAACACCAUGUGAACUGAAGUCAAAGAUUUGGGUGAUGCUUCUACAAGCCAAGAAAUGCCAAAGAUGACCAGCAAAGCACCGGCAGCUGGUGGAGGAGCCUGGACCAGAUUCUUCCUCACAGCCCUCAAAAGGAACCAAUCUUGCCAAAGCUUUGACUUAGACUUCUAGCCCCCUGUGAUGGUUAAUGUUAAGUGGCAGCUUGACUGGGUUAAGGGAUGCCCAGAUAGCUGGUAAGACAGUAUGUCUGUGUGCAUCUCUCAGAGUGUUUCUGGACAAGAUCAGCAUUUGAAUCCUUAGAGUAAAGAAGAUCUGCCCUCACCCACGUGCAUCACCCUAUCUCUGGAGAGCGCGAACAAACAGGAGGAAGGGCACAUAUGCUCCUUCUGUUCCAGCUGGCACAUCCAUCUUCUCCUGCCCCCUGACUUCAGAGCUCCUGGUUCUCGGGCCUCAGGAUUCCAGCACUUACAUGAGAGCGUGCUUCCCCCUCCCUACUCCACCCCUAGGUUCUCCGCCCUUUGGCCUCUGACUGAAUUCCACCACCAGCUUUUCAGGGUCUCCAGCUUGCAGACGGCAGAUCGUGGGACUUCUUGGCCUCCAUAAUUAUGUAAGCCAAUUCCCAUAAUAAAUCUCCUAU